UACGAGGGGGGCGAGCGUUGUUCGGAAUUAUUGGGCGUAAAGGGCGCGUAGGCGGUGCGGUAAGUCUGUAGUGAAAUCUCUGGGCUCAACUCAGAGUCUGCUAUAGAAACUGCCGUGCUUGAGUGUGGGAGAGGUGAGUGGAAUUCCCGGUGUAGCGGUGAAAUUCGUAGAUAUUGGGAAGAACACCGGUGGCGAAGGCGGCGACCUGGUCCGAUACUGACGCUGAGGCGCGAAAGCGUGGGGGAGCAAACAGG
rnacentral:rRNA from 1 species